GACGAACGCUGGCGGCGUGCUUAACACAUGCAAGUCGAACGGAAAGGCCCUGCUUUUGUGGGGUGCUCGAGUGGCGAACGGGUGAGUAACACGUGAGUAACCUGACCUUGACUUUGGGAUAACUUCAGGAAACUGGGGCUAAUACCGGAUAGGAGCUCCUGCUGCAUGGUGGGGGUUGGAAAGUUGCGGCGGUUGCGGAUGGACUCGCGGCUUAUCAGCUUGUUGGUGGGGGAGUGGCUUACCAACGCUUUGACGGGUAGCCGGCCUGAGAGGGUGACCGGCCACAUUGGGACUAAGAGACGGCGCAGUCUCCUACGGGAGGCAGCAGUGGGGAAUAUUGCACAAUGGGCGGGAGUCGGAUGCAGCAACGCCGCGUUCGUGAUGCCGGCCUUCGGGGUGUAAACCGCUGUCGCCUGUGACGAAGCGUGAGUGACGGUAAUGGGUAAAGAAGCACCGGCUAACUACGUG
rnacentral:rRNA from 1 species